UUCAAAGUAAAAGCUGUGCCUCAACACAUUUGAAAAGGUGCAGCUGUUACUCUGAAGGUGA
ensembl:miRNA oni-mir-10678 oni-mir-10678